UUAAAUUGAAGAGUUUGAUCAUGGCUCAGAUUGAACGCUGGCGGCAGGCCUAACACAUGCAAGUCGAACGGUAACAGGAAGCAGCUUGCUGCUUCGCUGACGAGUGGCGGACGGGUGAGUAAUGUCUGGGAAACUGCCUGAUGGAGGGGGAUAACUACUGGAAACGGUGGCUAAUACCGCAUAA
rnacentral:rRNA from 1 species